rnacentral:rRNA from 1 species
AGUGAACGCUGGCGGUAGGCCUAACACAUGCAAGUCGAACGGCAGCACAGUAAGAGCUUGCUCUUACGGGUGGCGAGUGGCGGACGGGUGAGGCAUACAUCGGAAUCUACUUUUUCGUGGGGGAUAACGUAGGGAAACUUACGCUAAUACCGCAUACGACCUACGGGUGAAAGCAGGGGAUCUUCGGACCUUGCGCGAUUGAAUUAGCCGAUGUCGGAUUAGCUAGUUGGCGGGGUAAAGGCCCACCAAGGCGACGAUCCGUAGCUGGACUGAGAGGAUGAUCAGCCACACUGGAACUGAGACACGGUCCAGACUCCUACGGGAGGCAGCAGUGGGGAAUAUUGGGCAAUGGGCGCAAGCCUGACCCAGCCAUACCGCGUGGGUGAAGAAGGCCUUCGGGUUGUAAAGCCCUUUUGUUAGGAAAGAAAAGCAGCAGGUUAAUACCCCGCUGUUCUGACGGUACCCAAAGAGUAAGCACCGGCUAACUUCGUG